GUGCUCGCUUCGGCAGCAUAUAUACUAAAAUUGGAAUGAUACAGAGAAGAUUAGCAUGGCCCCUGUGCAGGGAUGACACACAAAUUCGUGAAGCGUUCCAUUAAAAA
rnacentral:snRNA from 1 species